rnacentral:rRNA from 1 species
CCUACGGGAGGCAGCAGUGGGGGAUAUUGCACAAUGGGGGGAACCCUGAUGCAGCGACGCCGCGUGGGUGAAGAAGCGCCUCGGCGCGUAAAGCCCUGUCAGCAGGGAAGAAAAUGACGGUACCUGAAGAAGAAGCCCCGGCGAACUACGUGCCAGCAGCCGCGGUAAUACGUAGGGGGCAAGCGUUAUCCGGAUUUACUGGGUGUAAAGGGGGCGCAGACGGCGAUGCAAGCCAGGGGUGAAGGCCCGGGGGCCAACCCCGGGACUGCUCUUGGAACUGCGUGGCUGGAGUGCAGGAGGGGCAGGCGGAAUUCCUGGUGUAGCGGUGAAAUGCGUAGAUAUCAGGAGGAACACCGGUGGCGAAGGCGGCCUGCUGGACUGCAACUGACGUUGAGGCCCGAAAGCGUGGGGAGCAAACAGGAUUAGAUACCCUUGUAGUC